AAGUCGAGGGGCAGCGGGAUUGAAGCUUGCUCUCUUCAGCCGGCGACCGGCGCACGGGUGAGUAACACGUAUGCAACCUGGCCCGCGGACGGGGAUAACCCGGUGAAAACCGGACUAAUACCCGGCGACGCGCCGAGAGGGCAUCCUCUCGGCGCCGAAGGAAGGGAUUCCGCCGCGGGAUGGGCAUGCGGCGCAUUAGGCAGUUGGCGGGGUAACGGCCCACCAAACCUACGAUGCGUAGGGGUUCUGAGAGGAAGGUCCCCACACUGGAACUGAGACACGGUCCAGACUCC
rnacentral:rRNA from 1 species